GACGAACGCUGGCGGCGUGCUUAACACAUGCAAGUCGAACGGAAAGGCCCUGCUUUUGUGGGGUGCUCGAGUGGCGAACGGGUGAGUAACACGUGAGUAACCUGCCCUUGACUUUGGGAUAACUUCAGGAAACUGGGGCUAAUACCGGAUAGGAGCUCCUGCUGCAUGGUGGGGGUUGGAAAGUUUCGGCGGUUGGGGAUGGACUCGCGGCUUAUCAGCUUGUUGGUGGGGUAGUGGCUUACCAAGGCUUUGACGGGUAGCCGGCCUGAGAGGGUGACCGGCCACAUUGGGACUGAGAUACGGCCCAGACUCCUACGGGAGGCAGCAGUGGGGAAUAUUGCACAAUGGGCGGAAGCCUGAUGCAGCAACGCCGCGUGCGGGAUGACGGCCUUCGGGUUGUAAACCGCUUUCGCCUGUGACGAAGCGUGAGUGACGGUAAUGGGUAAAGAAGCACCGGCUAACUACGUGCCAGCAGCCGCGGUGAUACGUAGGGUGCGAGCGUUGUCCGGAUUUAUUGGGCGUAAAGGGCUCGUAGGUGGUUGAUCGCGUCGGAAGUGUAAUCUUGGGGCUUAACCCUGAGCGUGCUUUCGAUACGGGUUGACUUGAGGAAGGUAGGGGAGAAUGGAAUUCCUGGUGGAGCGGUGGAAUGCGCAGAUAUCAGGAGGAACACCAGUGGCGAAGGCGGUUCUCUGGGCCUUUCCUGACGCUGAGGAGCGAAAGCGUGGGGAGCGAACAGGCUUAGAUACCCUGAUAGUCCACGCUGUAAACGGUGGGUACUAGGUGUGGGGUCCAUUCCACGGGUUCCGUGCCGUAGCUAACGCUUUAAGUACCCCGCCUGGGGAGUACGGCCGCAAGGCUAAAACUCAAAGGAAUUGACGGGGCCCCGCACAAGCGGCGGAGCAUGCGGAUUAAUUCGAUGCAACGCGUAGAACCUUACCUGGGUUUGACAUGGAUCGGGAGUGCUCAGAGAUGGGUGUGCCUCUUUUGGGGUCGGUUCACAGGUGGUGCAUGCCUGUCGUCAGCUCGUGUCGUGAGAUGUUGGGUUAAGUCCCGCAACGAGCGCAACCCUUGUUCACUGUUGCCAGCACGUUAUGGUGGGGACUCAGUGGAGACCGCCGGGGUCAACUCGGAGGAAGGUGGGGAUGACGUCAAGUCGUCAUGCCCCUUAUGUCCAGGGCUUCACGCAUGCUACAAUGGCUGGUACAGAGAGUGGCGAGCCUGUGAGGGUGAGCGAAUCUCGGAAAGCCGGUCUCAGUUCGGAUUGGGGUCUGCAACUCGACCUCAUGAAGUCGGAGUCGCUAGUAAUCGCAGAUCAGCAACGCUGCGGUGAAUACGUUCCCGGGGCU
rnacentral:rRNA from 1 species